AAAGCUUCUGCCACACCCAGACGUAAAUCUAAGAGGAUCAGCAAACAACCUCAGCCAGAGGAAGAGAGUGAAGAAGAAAGCACUCCAGAUGAAAAUACUGAAGCAGAGGAAACUAAAGCAGCACCUGAAGAGUCUGAACAACAAGAAACCAGUGACAAAACCGAUGAAGACAAGAACAAGAAUAAGGAGGAAACACCUGCUGCUCAAAAAGAAGUGAUAGAGAGCUACAAGUUGAGACAGAACAAGUACCAGAGGUGACAGAUGUUUCUCUCACAGAGCAAAAAAGCCAGUGGAGGAAGAAAAAUCUGCUGAUUUAGAGAUCAUUGCAGAACAGCAAGAACACAUUUCUGCCAGUGAGAGUGUUGAA